CAAGUCGUACGCGAAGACCCCGAAAGGGGUUGUUAGCGUGGCAAACGGGUGAGUAACGCGUGGGCGACCUACCUCAGAGUGGGGGAUAACCUUCCGAAAGGGAGGCUAAUACCGCAUGACAUCCCGUGUUUAGAUACACGGACAUCAAAGCCGGGGAUCGCAAGACCUGGCGCUUGGAGAGGGGCCUACGUCCGAUUAGCUAGUUGGUGGGGUAACGGCUCACCAAGGCGACGAUCGGUAUCCGGCCUGAGAGGGCGGACGGACACACUGGGACUGAGACACGGCCCAGACUCCUACGGGAGGCAGCAGUAGGGAAUUGUUCGCAAUGGGCGCAAGCCUGACGACGCAACGCCGCGUGGAGGAUGAAGACCUUCGGGUCGUAAACUCCUUUCGACCGAGAUGAAUACCUUUCGACCUAAUACGUUGAGAGGCUGACAGUAUCGAGGGAAGCAGCCCCGGCUAACUCCGUGCCAGCAGCCGCGGUAAUACGGGGGGGGCAAGCGUUGUUCGGAAUUACUGGGCGUAAAGGGUUCGUAGGUGGCCAACUAAGUCAGACGUGAAAUCCCUCAGCUUAACUGGGGAACUGCGUCUGAUACUGAUUGGCUUGAGUGCAGGAGAGGAACGCGGAAUUCCAGGUGUAGCGGUGAAAUGCGUAGAUAUCUGGAGGAACACCGGUGGCGAAGGCGGCGUUCUGGACUGCAACUGACACUGAGGAACGAAAGCCAGGGGAGUAAACGGGAUUAGAUACCCCGGUAGUCCUGGCCCUAAACGAUGAAUGCUUGGUGUGGCGGGUAUCGAUCCCUGCCGUGCCGAA
rnacentral:rRNA from 1 species